GCGGUAGUGCAUAUUCUAAAACUGGGACGAUACAGAGAAAAUUAGCAUGGCCCCUGCGCAAGGAUGACACGCAAAUUCGUGAAGCGCUCCAUAUUUAA
rnacentral:snRNA from 1 species